UGGUCACCAUCCGGAACCGGCACAAUGACGUAGUGCCCACCAUGGCACAGGGAGUGUUGGAGUACAAGGACACCUAUGGUGAUGACCCAGUCUCCAACCAGAACAUCCAGUACUUUUUGGACCGCUUCUACCUCAGCCGCAUCUCUAUCCGCAUGCUCAUUAACCAGCACAGUGAGUUCUGGCUGCUUCGGAGAGGGCAGGGGGCCCUGGCAGGACAAGAAAGCAGGGGUCCCCACUUCAGCCACUGUGUCCAGAGGUCUGAGUGGCAUUCAGGAACUGACGGGUGUGGCUUAAGUCAGGUGUGGUAGCAUAUACCCAUAAUCUUAGCACUUGGGAAGCUGAGGCAGGAGAAUCGUAUGUUUGAGGCCAACCUCAAAAAAAAGUAAAUAAACAUUUUAAAAAGU
rnacentral:lncRNA from 1 species